rfam:Streptomyces sp. CB02400 scaffold5, whole genome shotgun sequence.
CGUGCGCACGCGCCGAAUCCCGCAAGGGAACCGGGGAACCACCACCAUGGGGUGAAUCGCGUGGAUACCGCCGUGGCGACACGGCUCGUAUACGCGCGUAGGAGACCUUCCCGCUCCGAACCCGUCAGCUAACCCGGUAGGCGAAGACGGAAGGAAAG